GACGAACCGUCCUAACGUUGUUCGGAAUCACUGGGCUUAAAGGGCGCGUAGGCGGGUGAUCAAGUCAGGGGUGAAAUCUUUCGGCUUAACCGGAAAACAGCCCCUGAUACUGGUUGUCUUGAGGGAGGUAGGGGUCUGUGGAACUUCUGGUGGAGCGGUGAAAUGCGUUGAUAUCAGAAGGAACGCCGGUGGCGAAAGCGACGGACUGGACCUCUUCUGACGCUGAGGCGCGAAAGCUAGGGUAGCGAACGGG
rnacentral:rRNA from 2 species